rnacentral:lncRNA from 1 species
UUUUUCUUCAUAGCAUGAAUCAUCAUUUUUAGACACUUCACAUAGUCACUAUCACUCUUCUUAACCUCGGCCUCUUUGUAGAACCAUGUUAUCAAUGAAGGGAAAAACAAAUUUUUAGACUCCUCAAUAACCACAUUCUAAAUUUAUUGUACAAUAUUUUCCCUAAAAUUAACUUCAAGACCCUUCACAAUGGAGCAAAUAAU